CGGAAACACAGACAGAAAAAAUGAAGGAAACGUUCUGAAAGUGGGAUCAAAGCUGCGAGGCCAAUGGAAAAGUAAUACUGCUAUCGAGGAGUUAAAGUAUUGUACCACUGACAAACAAAAAACAACAGCAGCAACAAAAAUGAUUUCAAAACAAGCCUAGUUGUGGAGGACAUCGCUUCACUGGCCCAAGUUG